GAUGAACGCUGGCGGCGUGCCUAAUACAUGCAAGUCGAACGAGGUGCUUUUGUAGCAAUACGGAAGUAUCCUAGUGGCGAACGGGUGAGUAACGCGUUGGUGACCUGCCCCAAAGUGUGGGAUAACAGUUCGAAAGAACUGCUAAUACCGCAUGUGAUCAUUGGAUUUAGAAACUGAUGAUUAAAGCAGUAAUGCGCUUUGGGAGGGACCUGCGUCCCAUCAGCUAGUUGGUGAGGUAAUGGCUCACCAAGGCGACGAUGGUUAGCGGGUCUGAGAGGAUGAUCCGCCACACUGGCACUGGAACACGGGCCAGACUCCUACGGGAGGCAG
rnacentral:rRNA from 1 species